rnacentral:tRNA from 1 species
AGGCGCGUAGCUCAGUGGUAGAGCACUACCUUGACAUGGUAGGGGUCGCCGGUUCGAUACCGGCCGUGCCUACCA